CCUACGGGAGGCAGCAGUAGGGAAUAUUGGUCAAUGGGCGAAAGCCUGAACCAGCAACGCCGCGUGCGCGAUGAAGGCCUUCGGGUCGUAAAGCGCUUUUGGGAGGGAUGAAAAUGACAGUACCUCCCGAAUAAGGAUCGGCUAACUACGUGCCAGCAGCCGCGGUAAGACGUAGGAUCCAAGCGUUAUCCGGAAUUACUGGGCGUAAAGGGCGUGUAGGAGGUUGGGCAAGUCGGCCAUGAAAGCUCCCGGCUCAACUGGGAGAGGCUGGUCGAUACUGCCUGGCUAGAGGGCAAGAGAGGGAGGUGGAAUUCCCGGUGUAGUGGUGAAAUGCGUAGAUAUCGGGAGGAACACCAGUGGCGAAGGCGGCCUCCUGGCUUGUACCUGACUCUGAAACGCGAAAGCAUGGGUAGCAAACAGGAUUAGAAACCCUGGUAGUCCAUGCCAUAAACGAUGUCAACUGGGUGUCGGCGAAGUAAAAUUUGUACGGUGCCGAAGCUAACGCGUUAAGUUGACCGCCUGAGGACUACGAUCGCAAGAUUAAAACNCAAAGGAAUUAGACGG
rnacentral:rRNA from 1 species